rnacentral:rRNA from 1 species
UUCCUACGGGAGGCAGCAGUAGGGAAUCUUCCACAAUGGACGAAAGUCUGAUGGAGCAACGCCGCGUGAGUGAAGAAGGGUUUCGGCUCGUAAAGCUCUGUUGGUAGUGAAGAAAGAUAGAGGUAGUAACUGGCCUUUAUUUGACGGUAAUUACUUAGAAAGUCACGGCUAACUACGUACCAGCAGCCGCGAUAAUACGUAGGGAGCGAGCGUUGUCCGGAUUUACUGGGUGUAAAGGGUGCGUAGGCGGGUAAGCAA